AAAAAUUAUUUGAGGAAAUUUGAAAGAAAUGAAAGAUAUAGAUGAAAGAAGAAAUUAUAAAUAAGAAUAAUAAAAGAAUAGAGAAAAUAAAAAAUGAGAAAAUAAUUAAAAAGAAGAAGAAUAAGAAAACUGGAGGAAAUGAAAGAAGAAAUAAUAAAAAAAAAGAAAUAAAUUAAUAAAAAGAGAAGAAAAAAAAAUAAAGAAUAAAAAUUAA
rnacentral:lncRNA from 1 species